GGGCCCGCACAAGCGGUGGAGUAUGUGGUUUAAUUCGAUGCAACGCGAAGAACCUUACCAGGGUUUGACAUCCUGCGAAUCUCUUGGAAACUUGAGAGUGCCUUCGGGAGCGCAGUGACAGGUGGUGCAUGGCUGUCGUCAGCUCGUGUCGUGAGAUGUUGGGUUAAGUCCCGCAACGAGCGCAACCCACGUCUUUAGUUGCCAGCAUUUAGUUGGGCACUCUAGAGAGACCGCCGGUGAUAAACCGGAGGAAGGUGUGGAUGACGUCAAGUCAUCAUGCCCCUUACAUCCUGGGCUACACACGUACUACAAUGCUACGGACAAAGGGCAGCAAACUCGCGAGAGCUAGCAAAUCCCAUAAACCGUGGCUCAGUUCAGAUCGUAGGCUGCAACUCGCCUACGUGAAGGCGGAAUCGCUAGUAAUCG
rnacentral:rRNA from 1 species